rnacentral:lncRNA from 1 species
GGCGAGGACACGGGGAGAAGGAGGCAUCCCCAAACCAAAGAGAGACCAGUCCUGCCAACACCUCGAUCUCGGGCUUCCAGUCUCAGAACUUGGAGGAUCAAUUCCUACUGUUUAAACAUCCAGGCUGUGGUGUUUUGUUACAUCAGCACUUGCAAACUAAUACGGUCAGAUCCACAGGUACUGGGGAUUAGCACUUCAGCAUCCUUCUAGGGCUCGUGGCAAAUGGGACAACAAACCAGGCCACUAGCCUAAGAGUCAGGCUUGAUGCUUCUCCAAGAUUUUUUUAGAUCAGACCACACCAAGCAGGAUCUGAUGGUCAGGAUCACUGCUGACCAGAAUCUUUCCACGUCCCCGGCACUGUUAUGAGCAAAUGCCUGUUCUGAUCUUGGAAGACAAAAAGGAAAGUUGAGGCUCAGCUCCAGACGUGAGGCCAAUUCUGAGGAAGGGCUACAAGAUGAGCACCACAACCCUGGCCACAAAGAAAGCUGUGAUCCAGAGGACAGCUGCUCCACCAGCUCGAUCUGAUGGAAGGAUGGACAAUAAACCCCCAGCCAACCGAUGAGGACAACCCAGCAUGAGCAAGAAACAAGCUUUUGCUGACUCACAGAGAUAUGGGAAGUGUUUGUUAUUCGGGAAGAACUUAGCCUAACCUGACUCAUACAUUUCACCAAUCCCAGACCCUGGCAUGGGAAAGGCAUUCUGUGCAUACCUGACAAUGAAUAAAUACAUA